CACGUAGUGAGGCUCCGGACCGCUCGGCGCAUUUCCCCCCCGCCGCAAAAUGACGCUGCGACCGGUUGGACGCUCUCGGCCAUGAGGGCGGGCGACGGCAGGUGGCCGGCCGCAGGUUCGUCCUGCGGCCGGUGUUACAGCCGGCCCGCCGCGGGCGCGUUCGUACCAACCGAGGACACCGGGCCCUGUGUGGGCCAUUUCGCAUCCUCCCCACGAGGGAGCGGGUCGCCCGGCAGGUGGUUCGUCGUCUCGACCGUUUUCACCCGAGUGUGUGCGGUCGGCGACGUCCUCCGUUGGAUCGGUGCGGUUCCCGCGCAGGAUGCCGGUCGUCGGCAGCGAGUAGGUCGGUCACCCACCCGACCCGUCUUGAAACACGGACCAAGGAGUCUAACAUGUGCGCGAGUCAUUGGGUCUUGCUCAGGCCCAAAGGCGCAAUGAAAGUGAAGGCCGGCUCGGCCGGCUGCGUUGGGAUCCCGUCUUUUUUAGACGGGCGCACCAACGGCCCGUCCCAGUCGCUGCGUCGACGGGGCGGAGUGAGAGCGUACACGUUGGGACCCGAAAGAUGGUGAACUAUGCCUGGGCAGGACGAAGCCAGAGGAAACUCUGGUGGAGGUCCGCAGCGAUUCUGACGUGCAAAUCGAUCGUCAGACCUGGGUAUAGGGGCGAAAGACUAAUCGAACCAUCUAGUAGCUGGUUCCCUCCGAAGUUUCCCUCAGGAUAGCUGGCGCUCGGAGGAAGCAUUCUCAUCCGGUAAAGCGAAUGAUUAGAGGCCUUGGGGCCGAAACGACCUCAACCUAUUCUCAAACUUNNNNNNNGUGAGAAGUCCGGCUUGCUCGACUGAAGCCCGGACGUGAGGAUGCGAGUGCCCAGUGGGCCACUUUUGGUAAGCAGAACUGGCGCUGUGGGAUGAACCAAACGCCGGGUUAAGGCGCCCGAUGCGAGACGCUCAUGAGACCCCAUGAAAGGUGUUGGUUGCUACAGACAGCAGGACGGUGGCCAUGGAAGUCGGAAUCCGCUAAGGAGUGUGUAACAACUCACCUGCCGAAGCAACUAGCCCUGAAAAUGGAUGGCGCUUCAGCGUCGAGCCCAUACCCGGCCGUCGCGGCUGUAGGUACUUGUGCUUUAUGUCGCGACGAGUAGGAGGGCGCAGGGGUGUGCGUUGAAGGUGCCGGGCGCGAGCCCGUCUGGAGCCGCCCCUGGUGCAGAUCUUGGUGGUAGUAGCAAAUACUCAAGUGAGAACCUUGAGGACUGAGGUGGAGAAGGGUUCCAUGUGAACAGCAGUUGAACAUGGGUCAGUCGGUCCUAAGGGAUAGGAGAAAUCCGUUCCGAAGCGGGACCUUUCUUGAUUUUGUUUGGUCCCGCCGCAGACCGAAAGGGAAUCGGGUUAAUAUUCCCGAACCCGGACAUGGAGAUCGACCCCUCACGGGGUCCAGUGCGGUAACGCAAACGAACUCGGAGACGUCGACGGGAGUCCCGGGAAGAGUUGUCUUUUCUUUGUAAGGGCUCGGCUCCCUGGAAUCGGCUCGCCCGGAGAUAGGGAUGCUGUACCCGUAAAGCACCGCGCCUCUUGCGGUGUCCGGAGCGCUCCCGUCGGCCCUUGAAAAUCCGAGCGAGAGGUUGUGAUUUUCGUGCCGGACCGUACCCAUAUCCGCAGC
rnacentral:rRNA from 1 species